rnacentral:rRNA from 1 species
CCUACGGGAGGCUGCAGUGAGGAAUAUUGGUCAAUGGACGAGAGUCUGAACCAGCCAAGUAGCGUGAAGGAUGACUGCCCUAUGGGUUGUAAACUUCUUUUAUAUGGGAGUAAAAUGUUCCACGUGUGGGCUUUUGUAUGUACCAUAUGAAUAAGGAUCGGCUAACUCCGUGCCAGCAGCCGCGGUAAUACGGAGGAUCCGAGCGUUAUCCGGAUUUAUUGGGUUUAAAGGGAGCGUAGGUGGAUUGUUAAGUCAGUUGUGAAAGUUUGCGGCUCAACCGUAGAAUUGCAGUUGAAACUGGCAGUCUUGAGUAAAGUAGAGGUAGGCGGAAUUCGUGGUGUAGCGGUGAAAUGCGUAGAGAUCGCGAAGAACUCCGAUUGCGAAGGCAGCCUACUGGACUUCAACUGACACUGAGGCACGAAAGUGUGGGUAUCAAACAGGAUUAGAUACCCGAGUAGUC